rnacentral:lncRNA from 10 species
AGGAACACCCAGGGGUGACACGGGAGAAGCCUGAAUUCCUCCCCGGUCACUGCAAAGGAGAAACUUGGUUAAGUGUAGGGCAUGAAUGGUCUGGGCUUGGCUCUCCUUGGGGGCUGCACCCACCACAGAUGACUGGUGCGGGGAGGGAGAGCUGAGCAUGAACUGUUACAUGCUGCCGCAGCUCGCACCUCAGCCUGGGGCAUGUGGGCAGUGGGGAAUGUGGGCCGGCAUUGAACCAUAGCUGUGCACAAAUCUCCCCUUCCUCCAACCAGAUCAUGGGACGUCAUCCCCUCUCCCUGCCUUCCUUGGUGGCCUGGGGAAGAGAUACUCUAACAGGGGGCCUGAUCCCAUGAAAUAUGGCACCUGCUUAUGCUCCCACUCCUUGGCCUGAAGCUGGACUGCACAGCCCAUGUUUGGAAAGAAGUUUGAUUCCAAUCUUAACACUGCUGCAGAGCCCAUCAUGAAAUCUCCUAUGAAUCCUGUCUCCUCCUGGGCCUGCUCCCAGAAACCUUCCCCCACAACAUGAGACAUGUGGAGGCCACAGGCAGAAUCCACAUGACAUUCCUGCCUGGGAGAUCUCAUCUCUACAAGGAGACAAUUGCUCUUUCCCUUAAAGCUGUCAGAGACCAUUCAUGGCCAGGGUUUUUAUUCUAGGGCAGCGUCCUUCUCCUUCAUGCGAGUUGAUGGAAAGUCUCUUGUGUGCCAGGGUUCCCCCAAACACCAGUUUCUCCCUCUCUUCAGAUGCCCAAGCUGCACAACACUCAAGACUUCCAGUGGGUGCUGCCUAGACCCCAGCUGUCUGAGCUCAUGUGCUCUGAGCCCAGGACAAACAGCCAGGUCCUCGGACUGUCCCCCGGCACUGGGUUUUGCAGAGCUUAUUGCCUUUGCCAAGAAAGUCUGGGCCCGUCAGAGGUUCCAGAGCCCACUGGCAGCCAACGGGCUCUGGAACCUCUGAGGGGCCCAGACUCUCUUGGCAAAGGCAAGAUUUUAUCCUCACUAAACCCCCAGAUCCUCUCCCAGUCUGCACCCCUUUUUCUCUCUACAACUCAUGCCCUAGCGAGGGCUUGAUCCACAGAGGGGAAGGGUCCUCGGACACUUAACGUUCCUCACUGCACAUCCUGCAUGACCAUGUCACCGGGCCUGGCCUGUGCUGGCUGCUGGGUGGGACGAGCAAUUCCAGGUGCUGACCAGAGGCGGUGCAGGCAGCCUGUCCCAUGCCUGAACUGGAGGUUUAUCAGUGGGGCAGGCCCCAGUGCAUCCUUACUCUGUCAGUCCGUCCCAGACAUGACCACGCUAUACGCCAGGCACGGUGCUGGAAGCAGGCUACGGGAUGGAAACACCAGUGAACAAGGUCAUUCUCUGUGUGGUUUACAGUCUAGUGAGGGAGACAGACAAUAAACAAAUAAAAAGAUCAAUAACAGGCUAAAGACAGUGCCGGGUGGCAGGGAGAAGCUGGAGGGAAGUCUACUCAGAGAGAGUGGGCAGGGAUGAGAGUUUCUUGCCCACCACCCUUAGAGACCAUCUUAUCCGAUGGGCUCACUAUGGGGAAACUGGGGCCCGGAGAGGAAGUGAUGGCCAGGGGCACACUGGAACCAGCCUGGGUUGGGAGUCUGGGUUCCUGGCCCUCAGCCUGGCCCAGGGCUCUGUGUCCUACAUCCUGUGACUUGCGUUCCAGCCAAGGAUCCUCCUGGGGCACACAGUGGGUGGAGGAAAGGAAACUCCACUCAGCCCUGACACCUGCUCAGUGCUUCUCUUCCUUUGUUUGCCACUUAAUAAGAAACAUUACUCCUUAAAAUGCCAAGAAACUGGGUUUGGGUUCUUGGCUUCCACCACCAGUCUGCCUGCCCCAUAAUGCCACCAACUUGGGACACAUUGACUAGAUCCAUGGCUUCUGGGGAUUCCAGUGGGAUUGUUCCAGACACUUGGAGUGACUGCCCUGUAUAGCGUAUGCAUUAAGAAGGCAGGAUUCUCUGCAGACUCAGCACGAGUAGUGUUCUGGGGAAAAAACAAUUCACUGUAAAAGCAGGAAUGUGCAAUGCCCAAAGGGCCGCAGGACGCCAGGAACUGGCAGGACCAGCUCUCCUGUUCCUUUUCUCCGGCCGUUGCCUCUUUCAGCCCGGCUGGUUAGUUCUGAUGGGGGAGGAGCUCUGAGCUGAGGCUCACCUCUGGGGCCUCUGUUGGACCUUCCUGGCUCCUGGGGUCCAGAGGUGGGCCGAGGCAGGGAGAGGUGUGCCGAGGCAGGGAGAGCUGGGCCGAGGCAGGGAGAGGUGGGCCAAGGCAGGGAGAGCU